rfam:Ictidomys tridecemlineatus contig031437, whole genome shotgun sequence.
GGGAGUAUAGUUCAGUUGUAGAGCACUUGCCCAGCAUGCAUGAGGCCCUGAGUUCAAUCCUCAGUGCCACUA